UACGGAGGGUGCAAGCGUUAUCCGGAUUCACUGGGUUUAAAGGGUGCGUAGGCGGCUAAGUAAGUCCGUUGUGAAAUCUCUGAGCUUAACUCAGAAACUGCCGUGGAUACUAUUUGCCUUGAAUAUUGUGGAGGUGAGCGGAAUAUGUCAUGUAGCGGUGAAAUGCUUAGAUAUGACAUAGAACACCAAUUGCGAAGGCAGCUCACUACACAAUCAUUGACGCUGAGGCACGAAAGCGUGGGGAUCAAACAGG
rnacentral:rRNA from 1 species